UCUGCACGAAUACACCGUAACUACAAUUUGUUUCUCCUUGAUGAAGCUUGACAAGAAACUGUUAUAUACCAUGGAUGUCAGGCAUGCCGUUAUGUGUCUCCUCCUAGUGCUUGUGUUGCACAGAAGUCCUACUGUUGUUGCAGAAGAGUAUUGCAGUUACGGGACUAUGAAGAUGCCAUUCUGUUUCGGCGCUCUGUGUAUCCUGGAGUGCUGGAUGCAGGGGAUAGUGAUAGGGGCUCAUGUCAAAGAACACACUUGUUGGGGAGCAAAGGAGACCAGCAGCUGUAUCUGUCUUUACUGCAGAAAAUAAACUAGCUUAGCCUUCAAGCAAAGAUAAAUAAAAGGUUUCGGCUAAAAGUGUCGUGUCAAGGCCGUCAUCCAAACAGACGCCAUCACGAAUAGUUAUUCCAAGCAUUAUUCUCGCAACGCUAAAGAUGUUAGCACAACCCUGUGGUUUUCUCCAACUUUUAGAACCAGUGAAUCAAAGAGGCUAGUUGGACUCCUCCUUGCA